GUCGCCGCGGAGCAGACUACUAGGAUUCCCUUAGUAACGGCGAGUGAACAGGGAUCAACUCAAACUGAAAAUCGGCAGCUUGAUGUCGAAUUGGAGUCUCACGAAUUGCAACCUGUGUUUGUUCUAGGCUAAGUCUCUUGGAAAAGAGUACCAAAGGGGGUGAGAGUCCCGUCUUUGCCUACAGACAUUCACGUUCGGUGCAUUUUCAAAGAAUCCCGUUCCUUGCGAUUGGAGCGCUAAGUGGGUGAUAAAUUUCAUCUAAAGCUAAAUACUAACGAGAUUCCGAUAGCAUACAAGUACCGUGAGGGAAAGAUGAAAAGGACUUUGAAAAGAGAGUUAAAAGGAACUGAAAUCGCUGAAAGGGAAGCGGAGAGUCUCAACGGUCUACCAAUUCUUGGUGCUUGGUCUUGUCGUUUCUGACUGGCUUUGAGCGCGUGAGUUUUGUGAUGGCGCUGGUAGUGGUCAUCCUUGCUGAGCGAAGUUUAGACGUGUCUCUUAACUGAGUUCAUGCCUUUGCUGUUUACAGUCGGGUUGAUCAAGAGUCCGGUGCAACUCCUAAGUAGUUGUACUCGUAGAAUCCCAGGAGUGUUGUUUCUCUCCGUCCCGUCUUGAAACACGGAAUGC
rnacentral:rRNA from 1 species